AGAAAAGUAACCGCCGCCCCGCGCAGGGGCGACGCUAAUAGACCGACACGAUCACAGGUAUUUCACGCCAACGCCAGCGCCACCAGCAAGUCAGCCCGACAAAACCGCUUCCGAUAGAACCCGUC
rnacentral:sRNA from 1 species